CUGUUUAUCCAUGCUACCCUGAACAUGCCCAAUCUCGUCUGAUCUCGGAAGCUAAUCAGGGGCAGGUCUGGUUAGUACUUGGAUGGGAGAAUUGUAGAGGAUCAUCUAU